rnacentral:rRNA from 1 species
GAUGAACGCUGGCGGCGUGCCUAAUACAUGCCAGUCGAGCGAACGGACGAGAAGCUUGCUUCUCUGAUGUUAGCGGCGGACGGGUGAGUAACACGUGGAUAACCUACCUAUAAGACUGGGAUAACUUCGGGAAACCGGAGCUAAUACCGGAUGAUAUUUUGAACCGCAUGGUUCAAAAGUGAAAGACGGUCUUGCUGUCACUUAUAGAUGGAUCCGCGCUGCAUUAGCUAGUUGGUAAGGUAACGGCUUACCAAGGCAACGAUGCAUAGCCGACCUGAGAGGGUGAUCGGCCACACUGGAACUGAGACACGGUCCAGACUCCUACGGGAGGCAGCAGUGGGGAAUCUUCCGCAAUGGGCGAAAGCCUGACGGAGCAACGCCGCGUGAGUGAUGAAGGUCUUCGGAUCGUAAAACUCUGUUAUUAGGGAAGAACAUAUGUGUAAGUAACUGUGCACAUCUUGACGGUACCUAAUCAGAAAGCCACGGCUAACUACGUG